GUCUUUGUGUGCUUGAGGCCUUUCAAGGCCUGUGGUGUCAGCUCACCAAGAGGAUUUAGUAAUGCUACUCUCUGGGGAACACUGCUGGCUUAGCUGAGCCCUGAACAAACAGCACACCUGGGGUCAGAAGCAAGCAGCAGGUGAGCUGCUGGUUGUUGAAGCUAUGCACAGUGAGGGGAAGAACUUCUGCCUCCAGUAAUCCCAGUAACAAGAAGAGGGUGGGCCUGUGAGGGAGUCUCAGCCAAUUCUGAAGAGCAGUUUUGAUUUAAGAAGGGCUUACAGGAGCACCAGGCUCUGCUCAGGCCUUCUUCUAGCCUCCUAUGAAACCUCCCAGCAUGGGGAAGACUGGAAGGGGAGAAGCAUGAGGAAAUCAUGUCUGAUGGCAGAGGACAACAGUGAAGGAAAGGGGGGAAAUGAUGUGAAGGUCAACUGUUCAAACAAAAGAACAAGGAAGCACUGUGAAUGUUUGGUCUUGUAAUUCUGCCUUGUGCCUUAUUAAGCCAGCGGUCAUUGACUUAGCCUGUAUUGUCCCUGUGUCUCUUGGGCCUGUGGCCAGUUGUAUCACUAAAUGUUUCAUUUGCGACCUUUGAAUAGUAUUUAUUUUCAAAAUGAAGUAGGAUGGUAGUCUGUAUGGGGAAAAAAACAACAUCACAGUGCUGUGGAAGUGCUCCCCCAUGUCCCUGAAGCUGAAAUAUCAACACUGCAUCCCAAGCCUACACAGGUCUCCUGUAAAAUGCUACUGGGUCCCUCCAUUAGCACAAUUAGAACUAUAAAGUAGAAUUAUCUUCUAUUAAGAAGUCGGCCUUUGUUUAGCCAUAGUUCUGAAGAUCUUUGUGUGUCAAGUUUUUCAAAAUGGUUAAAUAUGCUUUUGACAGUUGCCCCAAAAGUAGAACUCCAAAAAAAAAAAAAAAAAGACAAGAUAAAAAUAAACACCGAUCAACUCUUUCAUUUAUUGCAAGCUGUCAAAGGGGACAGGUUCAGUGGAAAAAUGAAUGUGUGACUGUGUCAUUAGAAGUUGAGUCACCAUACACGCGCAGGUAGCUGGGCGGAGUGGCUGGAAUGACUGUUGCUAACCUCAGCUUCAGCAUGGCUUGGCUGUCAGGAAAAAGUUUCUCAGAAGCAGGAGUUUCUUGUUUUCUGAAACCUCUUUCCAAACUGGCAAUGAAAAGCCAGAAUUCUCUGAAUAAAGAGAAGUGAAGUAUCAAAACUCAAUUUUCUGGUGAUAAGUCUUUGGAUAAGAGCAACCUGUAUGUACGUAUAUGAAUAUAACAGUCUUUUGCUGUA